UAAAAUAUCACUUACCAACUCAGUCGUUUCUAGAAAUGUGUGAUUUACUUUGCUAAAAUGAUGACAAAUGAUCAUAGCAGAACAGAUUAAACCAUCAUUUAUUAGAGCCAUAAUAAGUGAAUUUCAUUUUCUUGAGUCUGACCUCAGAAAGGAACGAUCUCCAUGAAGCCGCAGCAGACAGGUGGGAUGUGAAGUUCUGGGUUUUUCCUGCAGGACUGCAAAGCAAACACAAUGUCCUGAUGCCUCUGGCCGGCCGGCGUUACCUGCUGAGGGAGCUGAGACAGAUUCUGGAGGACAGAGACGCUCUGAGUCUGCUGGAGGACGCGGUAGGAGACAUCCAGACCGACCUCGCUCAGGUGGAAACCCGUCAUGUGACUGAAAGGCUCCUUGUCCUCCUGGCAGCUGGAUCAGAUCCGUUAUGGAGAAUAUCGGCGUCCUCAGUCUGAAGCCGUCGUCUGGCUCAUGGCUCUCCUCGAUGUUUCCUCUGCUUCCAGAUCGAAGCUGUUCACCUGCUGGUCAGCGCCUUGGAGGGUAAAUCCUCACUUUGCAGCAGCUGGGUCUCUGGACGCUCUGCCUUCCUCCUGCUGCUCUGAAACGUGACUGUUGGGUUCAUUUAGUCUGAAUGUUGUCCAGGUGUGACUGCAUGUUGUCCUCUGAUGGACAGGUGACCUGCAGACGGACACCAGUGGCCCUGCGAGGACGAGGCAUCAUUGAUCUGAUGUAGCUCAUCUUGUUUCUGUGCAGCUCUACCAGGCGUCACUGCAGCUGUUCUGGCCAAAAGCGGCCCUGAAACACUGACCUGCAUCAUCUCCAUGAUGGGGCAGCUGGUGCUUGGUCAGGGCAGACAUGUCCAGCCUCAGCUGCGCCCCCUGCAGGAGGACGGUGAGCUCCACUGGGUGGCAAGAUUCCUUUGUUCAGCCAAUAAUCGGAGCGAUCUGGUGGCAAACUGGGAUUAUCCAGACUCCUGUCCUGAGGCUGUGCUGGAGCUGCUGUAUGUCGCCGUGCGAGGACUCAGCCUGCUGCAGCACAACGUCCACUCAUAGGGCCACAGUUCACCACGGCAACGCCCCCUGCUGUGUUUCAUUGAGUAAAACACAGAACGGCUCUUUACUGCAGCUAAAACAAAGACGGAGGGAAAAUCCAAGAUUUUGCACACAUGAAAAGUUAUAAACAUGAACAAAUUAUUCAGCAGAAAUCUUUCUUGAAUAUCAGCCAUUUAAUUCACUCAAAUGAAUGUCUACAGACGACUUCCUGUUUCAGGACCUUUUACAGAUUCAGGUUGUUAAAUAAGAACCAAGAAUAUGAUGCUUGAUAAUGUUAUUUAUAUAGCACAUUUUCAGCAGCAAAGAGCUUUACAGGAAAUUCAAACAGAAUGACAAAGGAAAGAGCAAAACGGGAAAAAGUAUAAAGCUACAUAUUAGCUCCCCGUGUUUAAGAUAAUUGGUGAGUAAUUUGUAAACUACUGGCGUUUCUCUGGAUUCUUGUUCUGAUCAUGUUGAUCGCUGGUAGGAAGGCGAGUUGCUCUGGAUUCAAGUUUGUUCUGAUUCCUGAAGAAUGUAAAAUAACCCUAACCCUAACCCCUAACCCUAACUCUACCCUAACACUAACACUAACCCUAAACCUAACGUUCCUGUUCUGGGCUGCCAAGCAAAAACAGUCCAUAAUUUAAACUAGCAGGAGUUUCUCCAGAUUCUUCUUCUGAUCAUUCAUUUCUGUCUCUGUGCUCCACCAGGUCCGUUAGUUCCAGAACCCGACCAGAACUGCGCAGUGUAAAUUACCUUGAAAAAUGAUGUGAUUUUGUUAUGUGAAAACAUAUAAUGACGAAACGUUAGAAACCACACAUGUCAUCCAAACGGAUCAGAACCAGAGCUACAGUCACCGUCCAGCUCUGGUCCACUGAGCUCCUGAUGGACGGAACCAGGAGAGGCAAAGAGCUCAGCUUUCAUUCUUCAGUCUGUACCUGAAGGGAAGUUACUCAGUUUCAGGCUGUUUACAUACGACUGCCGGCAGACUCACAUAAACAUGGUUAUGUCAGCUGCAGCAUGGAAGCAGAUAAAAGAAAUGGAGGAAAACACAGAAUCCAUAACAGACACGUAUUUAAACUAAGCAAAGACCAAAAUGUUUGACAAAUCUCUUCUGUCUCCAUCUGAACCCAGGAUUAUUGGGCUGCUGAAUUGGUUUAUUACUGUUUUAUCUUGUGGUUUUGCUACUUCAAAACUUUUGUCUGUCUUCCUUUAGCUUAAUAUUUUUCUAUGUAGCAUUUUGGUCAUUUUUAAAGUGUGCUGUAAAUAAAGAAGGGUAGAAUGUUUU